GGGGAAAGAUCCUUUUUGGAACCUGCCUAGCCGAACGACCCGAGAACUAGUUUCAAAGCGGGGGCCGAGGGGUCCUGCGGCUCCUCGUCCCCUUUAUCUCGGGGGGGUUGCGUUGCGCUCGCGCGGCCGACCCUUCCGGGCGUACAAACGAACACCGGCGCGAAUUGCGCCAAGGAAAUUGAACGAGAGAGCGCGUCCCCGUCGCCCCGGAAACGGUGUGCGAGGGCGGCGUCGUCAUCUUCAAAUAUGUCAAAACGACUCUCGGCAACGGAUAUCUCGGCUCUCGCAUCGAUGAAGAACGUAGCGAAAUGCGAUACUUGGUGUGAAUUGCAGAAUCCCGUGAACCAUCGAGUCUUUGAACGCAAGUUGCGCCCGAAGCCAUUAGGCCGAGGGCACGCCUGCCUGGGCGUCACACGUCGUUGCCCCCCCAUCAACUCCUUCGGGAUUGCGGGGGGCGGAUGAUGGCCUCCCGUGCGCCUCGCCGCGCGGUUGGCAUAAAUACCAAGUCCUCGGCGACGCACGCCACGACAAUCGGUGGUUGCGAGACCUCGGUUGCCCGUCGUGUGCGUUCGUCGCGCAUCGA
rnacentral:misc_RNA from 1 species